CCCUUAGAUGUUCUGGGCUGCACGCGCGCUACACUGACGCACGCAACAGGUGCCUGCUCCGAGAGGACUGGGUAAUCAUUUGAGUGUGCGUCGUGAUGGGGAUAGAAUAUUGUAAUUAUUACUCUUCAACGAGGAAUUCCUAGUAAGCGCCAGUCAGCAGCUUGCGCUGAUUACGUCCCUGCCCUUUGUACACACCGCCCGUCGCUCCUACCGAUGGGUGAUCCGGUGAAUGAUUCGGACUUCAGCGGCUCCCCUGGGGUGCGCCGGAGAAAGUUUUGAGAACCUUAUCACUUGGAGGAAGGAGAAGUCGUAACA
rnacentral:rRNA from 1 species